GCUUAUGCAAAAAAAAUGGACUUUACAACAGGCAAAAGAAAUUUUCAAUUUAUCUUUAAUAGAGCUUCUUUAUGAAGCUCAAAAAAUACACAGAGAUUAUUUUAUUCCUGCUACAAUACAAAUCAGUACUCUUUUAAAUAUAAAAACAGGAAGUUGUCCAGAAAAUUGUUCUUAUUGUCCUCAGUCUGCACAUUAUAACACAGGUUUAAAAAAAGAGCCACUUAUGAAAAAAGAAGAAGUGGUUGCUGCAGCUAAAAGAGCAAAAGAUGCAGGAAGUAGUAGAUUUUGUAUAGGGGCUGCAUGGCGUGGACCACGAGAUGAAGAUUUAAAAAUUGUUUGCGAAAUGAUAACAG
rnacentral:ncRNA from 1 species